GUAGGUGAACCUGCGGAAGGAUCAUUACAAAAUACCUACGCCGGCCUCUCGGGGCUGUGUGUUUCUAUUUACCCACCCUUUGCCUAUGUGUACCCUUAUCGCUUCCUCGGCAGGUCCGCCUGCCGCCAGGAACCCCAUAAACCCUUUGCAUUUAUACAAGAAAACUUCUGAUACAAACCUAAAUUAUUACAACUUUUAACAAUGGAUCUCUUGGUUCUGGCAUCGAUGAAGAACGCAGCAUCUGACUGAC
rnacentral:misc_RNA from 1 species